AUUGAACGCUGGCGGCAUGCCUUACACAUGCAAGUCGAACGGCAGCACGGGUGCCUGCACCUGGUGGCGAGUGGCGAACGGGUGAGUAAUAUAUCGGAACGUGCCCUAGAGUGGGGGAUAACGUAGCGAAAGUUACGCUAAUACCGCAUACGAUCUACGGAUGAAAGUGGGGGAUCGCAAGACCUCAUGCUCCUGGAGCGGCCGAUAUCUGAUUAGCUAGUUGGUGGGGUAAAAGCCUACCAAGGCGACGAUCAGUAGCUGGUCUGAGAGGACGACCAGGCAAACUGGGACUGAGACACGGCCCAGACUCCUACGGGAGGCAGCAGUGGGGAAUUUUGGACAAUGGGGGAAACCCUGAUCCAGCAAUGCCGCGUGUGUGAAGAAGGCCUUCGGGUUGUAAAGCACUUUUGUCAGGAAGAAACACCGGCUCUAACACAGUCCGGGAAUGACGGUACCUGAAGAAUAAGCACCGGCUAACUACGUGCCAGCCGCCGCCGUAA
rnacentral:rRNA from 1 species